UAUCACCUACGGGGCGCAGCAGUGGGGAAUAUUGGGCAAUGGGCGCAAGCCUGACCCAGCAACGCCGCGUGAAGGAAGAAGGCUUUCGGGUUGUAAACUUCUUUUCUCAGGGACGAAGAAAGUGACGGUACCUGAGGAAUAAGCCACGGCUAACUACGUGCCAGCAGCCGCGGUAAUACGUAGGUGGCAAGCGUUAUCCGGAUUUACUGGGUGUAAAGGGCGUGUAGGCGGGAGUGCAAGUCAGAUGUGAAAACCACGGGCUCAACCUGUGGCCUUCAUUUGAAACU
rnacentral:rRNA from 1 species